ensembl:lncRNA
AAAAGCCUAUGGGAUUCUGGCCUGCAUCAAUAGGGGAAUAGCGUCUAGAUCCAGGGAAGUUAUGCUCUCCCUCUAUUCUGCCUUGGUCAGACCACACCUGGAAUACUGUGACCAAUGCUGGGCUUUACAGAGUUAUGUGUGUGCAUGUACCUUCAAGUCACCUGUCAAUUUAUGAUGGCCCCUUGAAUUUUCUACAGUUUUCUUAAGCAAAGCAUAAUGGCAGGUGGUUUUGCCAGUUCAUUCCUCUAAACCAGUGGUUUUUAAACUUUGGUCCUCCAGGUGUUCCUAUAAUUCCUAACAGCUGGUAAGCUAGCUCAGACUUCUGGGAGUUGACAUCCAAAACACCUGGAGGACCAAAGGUUGAGAACCACUGCGCUAAAUUAUAGCUUACAUACCAGAUACUUAUACGGCCUUGUGUCUUGUUAAAAUUAAUUUAUUGCAUAUACUUGUGUGUAUGUCAACGUCAAGUAUAAGUCAAGGGAAGGUUUGGGGCCAAAAUUACGGAUUUUGAUAUGACCCAGGCUGACAGCAAAAUUAUGCUAUUACAAGGGGCCAGCUAUCCCUAUCCCUUUUAAAAAGACCAGAAGUGGCAUUUCUGUGGAGGGAGUAGAGGGGGCCAGUGCUUCUUUUAGGUUCUCUCAGGAUGAGCCAAGCUGUCACUUUUUCCCAUUAUACUCAGAGAAGGGGAUGGCUCCUAUUUAAAAUAAAGUUAAGUACUAGAAAGAGGGCAGUACAAGCAAAGACCCCUUCAGUGAAGCAACUUUCUGUAGCAAAAUCUCAGAUGUGUGAGAAGCCAGUAGAAGAACUUAUACCAACCCGUGUAAAGAUUGCUGUGUUUGCUAUCUUCGUUUUCCUUCUUUUUGUGUAUGUCACUAUGGAAACUAAUGUAGGGAAUCCAUUCCCAAGGUUUAGCAUGGGAAAAUGAGAGCAUCUCAUCAUUUAGAGAUGACAUCAAAAGACUAAAGGUGGUGGUUCUGUUCAGCUGCUUAGGAAUAAGCAAUUUGGGUAGCUUAUUAAAAAGCAAGAGUGGAUAUACCAUGUAUGUGUUUUCUUUGUUUAGAAUUUAAAAUGCCUCCCAGCGUCUGUAUCUUAAAAUAUCUGGCAGCAUCUACGUUUUUUGACAGUGGUUCAUGAUUUAGCUCAUGAGUAGAGAUUUUCUUAAUUGGUUUAAUGAAAACCAAUUUCUUCCUUUCUUAAUUUCAGAAGGUGAAGUUUUCUGUUAGCAGCCAGUCCUCCCACCAUUGUUUAUAUUAUGCAAGUGGGCCCUAUGGCUAGAAGACAAUUUGUCAAAUCCUAAUGAACUGACUAGUAAGAAGCAUAAACCUAGAAGGAAAAGAUUGCAAAAAUGAUUGUGGGGUAAUUCAGCUGUUAUAUACCCAUACAGAAUACAAGUUGCAGGGUAGCUUCUCAGAGCCAAGUAGAUCCCACCAAAAUCCAUCCAUUCCCAAAGUAUAGCAUGGGAAGUUGAUCCCAUCACUCUCACCAUCAUAGCCCGGUGCUUUAAUUCAUCCAGAAGCCUUUGUUCUAUUACAGACAUCAGCUGUGGAGCUGGGCUGCCUAUCCUAGUCUAAGGAGAAGCACCUGCUAGGUAAUCAAAUGUAAAACGACAGAGCCCUUGAUGGCUGAUCAUACAGGCAUAGCUACAGCUUGUCCAUUUCCAUGUACCUGUUUUCUUUUGAUGGACAGUGUAGUAUUUUGCUUUUGAGAACUUGCAAUCUUUAAUACUCCCAUUGAUCAUCCUGUGGGGAAUUUCCUGGAAUAUGUAGUUCAAAAACUAUAGACUGGUUACUAGACAAAGAAAUAAACAUCAAUACCUUUUCAUGCCUUAUUUUACUAUCUUUAAAGUGUUGGAGCCAAGUUCUUCACAUGUGCUGGCAUUUUUAAAACAUGAAAAAACUAACAAAAAGUCCAACUCAACUUGUUCUUUCUAAUUGGCAACAGAAUGUAAUACUGUGUUGAAGUGGUGUGGCUGUUAAUUGUUUUUUGUUUAAAGCAUGAGUAGCUUUCAAAUGGUGUAAACCUAAAAGUUGCGCUGUGACAAAUUUUGUGUUUUAGUUUACCUGUGACUUCAGAUUUCACAACCUCCAAUAUAGACCUUUAUUGCACACCCUUACUCCCAUUCUGCUAAACUGUACAGCUUGUGAUUUUGCUCUGUGGCAGUGAGGGGGCACAAGCAACAAUCUAGCUGUCACUCACCUUUUACAGUGAAUGUUUCCUGUGAUUACUUCCUGGCAUAUGGUUUAGAAAGGAGAAUGAAAGAUGGUGCGAUAUCCCCAAUAUAUCUUCAAAAAUAAUACUGCACAAUAAUCCUGUAAUAAUGUACAAAAAGCCCAGAGUAAGAAAACUUGAACACUGAAAUUCAAAGUUUGUCCCUUUUUUGUUGGUACAUGAAUAGAUUUCUAAGAAUCUAGAACAGUGAAACCCCUGUUUGGACAUUUAAUUUGGACCAUCAGAAGCCCCAUUGUGGCCUUAGGAUGUAUCCAUACACCCUCCCUAUCAUCACAUUGACUUACCUUUUGCAGCUUGAUAAUUGUUUUUCACUUUUCCAUGUUGUUCUUAACUGUUUACCUCUUCACCUCUUCUUAACUGUUAGUAAUCUUUGUUUUAUUUACUGCAAUGUUUAUGCCAUACAUUCUGGUUUUGUUCCUUCAUCUGGUCAGCUGAUGCACUUCUAGAAAACUUUGGAAGUCUUGGGAACACAUAGAAAAAGCGAGUUCAUUUUCUCAUUUGAGUCAUUCUGAAAUUACUCACAUAUUUCUUGGCAGGCUGCGUGGAGCACUUGCUUGUUUGGUCAUGACUCAACAUUUUUUUGUCUGUGCUAGACCAAGGAGGUAAAAUCAGAGUGAAAUCUCAACAGCACAUGGAAGCAUAUGCAGUAGUUGUUCAUCUUAUGUUAACAAAUUGUAUUCUGUUUGAUCAAAGUGCUAAGAGUUGGGCCAGAAUUUAAAGAUGGAGAAAAAAAAUAAUUGUCCAGAGACACAUUCUAAAGUAGUUUUUUUUCAUUAUUCUUCUUAGAAAAUGAUGCCUUUAUUAAGUCUGAUUUCACUCACUAUCUCAUUUCCCCAACAUUCAUUCUGUGCAGUUUCACCAUCAAUUUCUGAUUUUUUUUAAAAAAAAUUGUUGACUUAAAAUGAAUUCCACACAUAUUUUUACACACUUUCAGUUCUAUGCGUUAUGCUGACCUUUCCAAAUCAACAUAUUUUGCAAUCAUAUUUUGCCUUUAUUUUCUAUUUGGAAUACUAUAAUGCACUGUAUAUGGAGAUGCACUUGGAAACUGUUCAUAACCUACAGCAUGUAACAAACACCCUUGGUAAAACAGCUUCAUUGGUUUGUUUCUGGGUGUAAUUCAAAGUGUUGGUCACUAUUAUGCCCUAUGCAAUGUAGGUUCAGGCUUUCUGAAAGAUCAUAUCUUCUUAUACGAACCUUGACAAGAGGUUUCAACUCCAAGGGAAAGGCUUACUUAGUGAGGACAGGAGACCCAUUGGUGUCUCCCACCUACUGGAAUUUCUUUCCAAUGGAGGAUAAGCUUGCUAACUUCCUGUUCUCCUUUCACCAGCAGGCAAAGAUAUUUUGGUUUAAGCAGGCUUUUAAUGUAUAGUUUCUCACAGAUAGGUUUCUUAUUGAAAGAGAUGUUUCGGUUUUAAACCUUUAAAUGCAUUUAAAAUAAUUUUAUAUGUUUUUUUGUAAUAAUGAUAAAUUGUUUUAAAUUUUUAUUGUCAGAUUUAGUUCUUAUUGUGAGAUGCCUUGGGUCCCGAUCCAACAGAAAGGUGGCAUAUAAAUAAAACAAAAUAAAUAUUCUUGAAAACAUUGAAGCAAUGUUUGUAUGCAUAUUUCUUUACUGUGUUUAGUUUUGUUAAUGGUUAAUAUGAACUGCAUAGGGAACUAUGGAAAUCUUAAUUUUACUCCAGUUUACAGAUUUGGCAUUUGAUGACUCCCUAAACACAAAUAUGUAAGCCUAAUGUUCCCAGUCAAAGUACUUAUGGAGCAUAUCAGGUAGUCAAUCAAGUUUUGUAUACAUUAAAGUCAUCCAUACAAUGGAUGUUACUUCAAGUUCGAACUAUAUUCUUAUAGUGCCAGUGGUUGAUUGUAGGAGAGUGGUUGUGUGUGUCCACUUAUGUCGUGUGCUAUAUUUUGAUACGCCUUUGCACCGAAUCAUGAUUGAGGUGGCUUUUUUGUUUUGUGACCCUUCAUAUUAUUUCUAACAUAGUGGACCAGUUAUGGAGUUGCCUUUGAUUUGGUCAGAGGGUUUGCCCUUUUUGUCCUCUGAAGCAGAGGGAAUGUGACUUGCCCAAGAUCAUUAAGAAGGAAGCUAUGGCUGAUUUGAAAUACAGAUAAAAUGAAAUGUGCUCAUGACUGAGGUGAAUUUUGAACUGAUACCACACAGCUUAUUCUGUUAUUAUGAGAAAGCAGUUUUGCCUUGCUUGUGUAACCCAUAUUGUGUCACAGAUUUGGAACUUAAUAAUUCCAGCAAAAAUAUUUUAUUUGCAUUUAUUUUCAAGCAAGGUCAGUUCACAAAUGGCUCUGCAUUAGAAACAAAGAACCUUUUCUAUAUGUGGCACACAUUCUCUUAAUAUGAAAAAGUUCAUGAGAACUUAAGUACAGGAUAGGAGUGGGAAUCAGACUUUUCAGUCUUCCCGAACUACAGGUCCCACUAGUUCUAAUGAAUGCUGAAAGUUCCAGUCCAAAAAUACCUGGAGGACAGUAUGAAUGCCACUCCUUUUCUAUAGAGCAGGAGUGAAUUCUUGGUCUUCUGAACAUCUAAUGAAUUAUCUUGGCUAACUGCCUGCUUUAUUUCUUCUCCCAA